rnacentral:rRNA from 1 species
GACGAACGCUGGCGGCGUGCCUAAUACAUGCAAGUCGAACGAGAGCAACCGGUGCUUGCACUGGUCAAUCUAGUGGCGAACGGGUGAGUAACACGUGGGUAACCUGCCCAUCAGAGGGGGAUAACAUCCGGAAACGGAUGCUAAAACCGCAUAGGUCUUCGAACCGCAUGGUUUGAAGAGGAAAAGAGGCGCAAGCUUCUGCUGAUGGAUGGACCCGCGGUGCAUUAGCUAGUUGGUGAGGUAACGGCUCACCAAGGCCGUGAUGCAUAGCCGACCUGAGAGGGUGAUCGGCCACAUUGGGACUGAGACACGGCCCAAACUCCUACGGGAGGCAGCAGUAGGGAAUCUUCCGCAAUGGACGCAAGUCUGACGGAGCAACGCCGCGUGAGUGAAGAAGGUUUUCGGAUCGUAAAACUCUGUUGUUAGAGAAGAACAAGUGCUAGAGUAACUGUUAGCGCCCUGACGGUAUCUAACCAGAAAGCCACGGCUAACUACGUG